rnacentral:rRNA from 1 species
GAAAUUUCAUUCGCACUAGUGAUAGCUAGUUUCCCUGGAAAGAUAUAAAAGUGUCGCGAAGAAUAUAAAUUUAUAAUAUUGAUUAUUAUAUAUUGUAUUUUUUACUAAUUUUUUUGAGGAUAAGCUCAAAAAAAAGUUAAGAAUUUCCUAAUUAAAUUAACUGUAUAGGCUUCAAAUUGGCCACUAUCAAAGUUUUUUAUAAAAUAGUAACCUUAGUUUUAUAGAUAAAUAUAAUUCAAACUAACUUUUUACAGGGGCCAAAACUUUCAUUUAGAUAAGUUUUAUGCCUAUGCUAGAAUGAGUAUUAAAACUUAAUUAUGAAAGAUUUGUUUAUAUCUUCBUAAAAAAAAAUUAAAAAAGUUAAUUAACUAGAAGGAACUCGGCAAAUUUAGUUGUUUCGCCUGUUUAUCAAAAACAUGGCUCUUUGGCUAUAUAAAUAUAAAGAGUCGAACCUGCCC